rnacentral:rRNA from 1 species
CCUACGGGAGGCAGCAGUGAGGAAUAUUGGUCAAUGGGCUUACGCCUGAACCAGCCAAGUCGCGUGAGGGAAGACUGCCCUAUGGGUUGUAAACCUCUUUUGUCAGGGAGCAACGCCGGCUACGUGUAGCCGGACUGAGAGUACCUGAAGAAAAAGCAUCGGCUAACUCCGUGCCAGCAGCAGCGGUCAUACGGAGGAUGCGAGCGUUAUCCGGAUUUAUUGGGGUGAAAGGGUGCGUAGGCGGAAUGCGAAGUCGGCGGUAAAAUCGCGGGGUUCAACCUCGCUCCGCCGUUGAAACUGGCGUUAUGGAGUGGGCGAGAAGUAUGCGGAAUGCGUGGUGUAGCGGCGACAUGCAUAGAU